rnacentral:lncRNA from 1 species
GGACACUCAUGCAAUAUAUUCUCAAGUCUAUAUCCAGGAUCCAACCACAUUUUGCCCUUACCUCCAUCAUCGUCCUGAUCCAGGCCACCAUCAUCUCUCACCUGGAUUAUUACAACAGCUGUCUAACUGGCCUCCCUGCCUCCACCAUGCCUCUCACCACAAAGCAGUCUGAGUAAUUCUCUUGGAUAUUCCAGGUAGUCAAGUGACUCACUUUUGUCCAGUUACCGACUUUCCAGAAAAUAUCGCCAGUACUGGAAGCUAAGAUUGGACUAUUUUACUGCUGUACAUAAGCAAAGCCUUAAUCUGGCUUUAAGGCUCAAAGAAAGAUUCUACAGAUAUCACUGUUAUGUAUGAGAUCAUAGCAGAGAAGCUCUGGCAAGGUAAUUUGCAGAAUGAAGUAUUUCCUAUUUUGUACCAAACAUGAUGACAUUUAAGCUACUCAAGGGAAAUAUAUUUUUACACUGUGCGAGAUACUCUGUGUUAAGAAUUUUUAUGUGGUACACUAGGUAAAUUCCAUGUAAAAUAAUUUUCCCUAAGAAAUAAAAUGUUCACAAAGAUUCCCUUGUCUGAUUUUAUUUUAAAUCUCAAAAGGUUAAUCCAAAAUUUGACCUUAUAAACAAUACCAGCACAUAGUAAGCCAAACACUUGCAAAAGAAUGUUGUUCUCCAGUGUGCUAAGAACUCUGGGAGUGAGAAGGAAUAGGGCAUCAUUUCCUUUACCUCACUAGGGAACUAUUUAUAGUCCAGCAUUCUAAUGAAAACCCUCGUGACCUGGAAAAGUUAAUGUGCCUUUCAAAGUGUCUUAUUUAUAUCCAGGGAAUAACUCAGGAUCACAUCCAAGAUGUAAACAUGUGUUUUUCUCUCUCUCCCUCUCUCUCAGCUCAUGCACUUAUCUCAUUCAAUAUGAAAGCAAGAAAGAGUUUCAGUCUAUAUUUAUUUUAGUUCUCACUUUACACAGUUGAUGAUUGAAGAUAUUGCAGAAGACUAGCGUUUCACUAGAAACAUCUUUAGGAAAAUGAUGGACCAAAUUUUGGAGAUACUUACAAUCUACCAAAAAAAAAUAAAUCAUGGCAUUUCUCUUCUUAAAACUUAAUGAAAUUCAAAGGUUUUAUCUGAAGAAAAAUCAGUAAAAUGGGAAAUACAGUCCAAAAUAACUUUAAAUGUCAGUUAUAUAUACUUAUGUUAUUUAAAUAAUAAUGUAUUAUUGACAUAAGUGUAUAUCAUAGUUGACAAGUUCUUUUCUUUUCUAGGUGUCCACUUGGGCUUCAUUCCCUUCCAGGAGAUCCUCCUGACUCUCUUAGACUAGCUUAAAUGCCCUUUCGUGUACUCCUUGUCUUAGCAAUUCUUGCCUGGCAAGAAUUCUGUAAGCUAGGUAUAGUUUUGAUCACUAUUUUACAGGUAAGAAAAUUGAGUCCAGAGAAACUGAGCAACGUGUCUAGACAAGAUUACGAAGCUGAACCAGGAACCAAACUCCGAUUGAAUGAUUCCAAACCCAAUACUCUGGCUGCAGAUCUAUUGAGUGGACUUGUCUUCCACUUUAACACUGCAUUUACCAAACAUUAAGAAAGUAGGAAGAUAAGCAAUUAUCUGUUGACUUUGGGUAGUAAAUAUGGAGCAUUGGAUAAUUAUGAUAAUAAGGUCUUGAGCAUUAGUGUGUGCCAAGCACUUGGCUAAGUGUUUAUGUUCAUUCUUUCAUUUCAUUCUAACAACAUCCAGUGAGAUAGAAAUGAUGAGUAUUCCCCUCCACCAAUUUUUACAGUUAAAGAACCUGAGGCUCGAGGAAGGUAAAUAAUUUGCUCAAGGUCACACAACUAAAAGGAGACAGAACCAGGCUCUGUACCCAGGUUGUCUAACUCUGAGUCCACUUGCUUAACCACCAUACAUAUUGCCUAAUCCAAGCCCCAUCCCACCUCCCGCUUCUCCUUAGAUACGUAUUUAAGAGGGUAAGUGUAAACUACAAGAUGAGGGCUGCCCCUCAUUUAUCAUAAUAACUGCUGAAUUCUCCCUUUUUUCCUAAUAUGUAUAGGUAUAUGCUAAGACUUUUUUUCAGACUUGCGUUAGAAUUCCGGUCCAGCCACUUACUAGAUGAAUGACUUUGUUCACAUUACUAAAUCUCUCUGAAAAUACAAGUUGAGUAAUUUGCAGUUUCUGUUUCUCCAUUUGACAAAAAAAGAUGAUAGAACCCAACCAGCAGGAUGGUUGCACCUAAAGUGAAAUCCUGUAAUGGAAACUUCCUAGUACAGAGCUUAGUAGGCAGAAGUAAUUCGACAAAUACCAGACCCAUCCCCUUCCCUCCCCUGAAUGAUAGCUUUAAAUGUAGGUAUUAAUCAAGUACCCACCGGAUAAAGAGAAACUUUCAUUUACUAACUCAGUCAUUCACCUCAAAAUAUUGUUGACUUCUCUUGAAUCUCUCCAGUUAAAGGAAUUUUAAGAUUACAACGUCCCAAAAUUCGUUUUUCUGUCCUACAUCUGGAUGGCAACAGCUCCUUGAACACUUUUCUCUUGGUUUUUACAAGUGUGCAAAUCUAUCCAUAUUUUAAAUGUAGUAUCUACUGAUGAUAGAUACGUACUCUAAUUCCACAAAUGUCUACUAGGUGCCUCCUUUGCCAAGAACCCUUCCUGACCCCAAGAAGUUCAUAGUUUAUUGGGUAAAAAAACACAUGACUAGCUAAGACACUAUGUAAUAACGGUGCCAUAACAAAGGCAUGUACCAACCUCCAUGGGAGCAAUUAAUCUUGCUCGAGGUUUUGAGGACUAGUUCACAGAAGAGGUGACAUUUGAGUUCAGCCACAAAGAAUGAGUCAGCUUCUCCGAGAAUUAAUGAGCAUUCCAGCAUCACAGGCAAAUUUCAAGCAGUAUAUCUUGUUAAAACUGUGACCACAAGAAUGUCCCAUCAUAGAAACUUUUCUCCUUUUGCUUGGUCCAGAUUAUUAAAGACAAAACAGUCAUGAUGACUUUCAGGGUUAAUCCACUAAAGUCACUCAACGAUGGUUUUACAAAGCAAAUGUGUGGUAUUUAAGUUUCCCAAAGACGCCAUCGUGUAGCACUUAGGAUUCCGAACAACGCAAGUUUCUCCUUUGAGAGCUCAUAUAUAAUGAAUGUGUGUUACAUUAAAGAUUACUGAAGAUUGUAAACCUUCUUUUUUGCAUGUGUAAGAUUGGUAGCUUUUAAAAUAUUGAUGCAUUUGUGUAAAUUACCCAACUUGAAUUUUACAACAAAUUCAGAAAAGAAAAUGUCAAAGUUGGACAAAUUUUAAAUGAACUCUCUAUGAAAAUAAAAAAAACUUCUUAAAUAAUAUUUUGAGAUGAAUUGGUCUACAGAGCUCAUCUUGGAUUUCAACAUGUAUGUAGCUGAAGGGUACAGAAAUGAAUUGGCUAUGAAGACUUAGGAAAAGUUUCAAGGUUUAACUAUCUUUGCCUUGUUCUGUAUGUAACCCAUGUUUUCCUACUUUUUGUCCUUAAUCACUCUGUGAAUAUUUUCCGUAAAUAAAUCUGAUUCUCAUCCACAUAGCACCUGCUAUUCUCUCUUCUUCUGUGGCCUCCAUCCUUUGGUUGCCACCAUUUCCAGCAGGUGCUGACAUCUCCUACCACAGCUGAUGCCAUGGAGCCCUCAGAGUGGCAAGGUGUCUCGGUAUUGUGUUGCAUAGUUGGAAAGAAGUUCUCGCUUCCCUUCUUUUUUCUUGGCUUACUCUAGCUUAGGGCAGGAGGUCCAAGGCAGAUGUCCUUGGACCCCAGGGAUGGACAACGCUGUCAGUGCAAGUUUUACUCACAACCUUCCCAUGCUCCCUCUACAGGAUGCAGAUGUCCCUCCCUGAGCCAGAGACAACCUGAGUGACAGCCCCAAACCCCUUCCCUCCAAUGAUCGAAGCUUUGUUUUGGGAUCCAGCUGCUUCUGCCUAGCUGCCUUGCCCCUCUGGACAAGUCCUCACCCAAGAAGCCCUGGGACUAUCACAUAGAGACAGCCUGGUAUGCCAUUUCCCAGAUAUGGCCAAACUACUAUGGACUUCAGAGACACACCUGGCUUGAGAUUAUAGGAUUCUUGAUCUUAUUCCUACUUGCUUCAGUUAUUGAUGAAAAUAGGCUGAGCCUCAUAACAAAUGUUGGAGAAUGCUUAUGUUCACUUUUAUUUGGUUAAGAAUGAAUGAAUAAAUGGAUGAAUGAAAGGAU